CAGAAGUUGAUCCUGCAACGGUAGCACAUGAUGCUAAACACCUAUACAAAGCUGGGGAGAAGCGAGUGGGAACAGAUGAGGAGACUUUUGUCUGCAUUUUUAGUGAAAGGAGCAGAGCACAUUUGGCAGCUGUUGCUUCGGCCUACCAUCAUACAUACGGUAACUCCCUUGAAAAGGCAUUAAAACGUGAAACGUCUGGGCUCUUUUUAAGUUCGCUUCUAGCAAUUCUAAGAUGUGCUGAGAAUCCUGCCAAAUACUUUGCUAAGGAAUUGCGCAGGUCAAUG
rnacentral:misc_RNA from 1 species